rnacentral:rRNA from 1 species
UACAGAGGGGGCAAGCGUUGUUCGGAAUUACUGGGCGUAAAGGGCGCGUAGACGGCUAUCUAAGUCGGGUGUGAAAGCCCCGGGCUCAACCUGGGAAUUGCAUUCGAGACUGAAUAGCUAGGGUACGGUAGAGGGAAGUGGAAUUUCCGGUGUAGCGGUGAAAUGCGUAGAUAUCGGAAGGAACAUCAGUGGCGAAAGCGACUUCCUGGACCAGUACCGACGUUCAGGCACGAAAGCGUGGGGAGCAAACAGG